rnacentral:rRNA from 1 species
CCUACGGGAGGCUGCAGUGAGGAAUAUUGGUCAAUGGACGCAAGUCUGAACCAGCCAAGUAGCGUGCAGGAUGACGGCCCUCCGGGUUGUAAACUGCUUUAAGUUGGGAAUAAAAUGUUCCACGUGUGGGAUUUUGUAUGUACCAUAUGAAUAAGGAUCGGCUAACUCCGUGCCAGCAGCCGCGGUAAUACGGAGGAUCCGAGCGUUAUCCGGAUUUAUUGGGUUUAAAGGGAGCGUAGGUGGAUUGUUAAGUCAGUUGUGAAAGUUUGCGGCUCAACCGUAAAAGUGCAGUUGAAACUGGUAGUCUUGAGUACAGUAGAGGUGGGCGGAAUUCGUGGUGUAGCGGUGAAAUGCUUAGAUAUCACGAAGAACUCCGAUUGCGAAGGCAGUUCACUGGACUGCAACUGACACUGAGGCUCGAAAGUGUGGGUAUCAAACAGGAUUAGAUACCCGGGUAGUC